AAUAGACACAACGAACCAGAUGAACAUUACCAACACUACGCAGCUGCAUUCACAUGUGAGCCAGAUCCUGUAGUCACAGCUCAGUUCUGGGAAAAGGAAUGGUUAUAUGGGCAAGAUAUGGCCCAUAUACACAGCAAGGCGGUUUUUGGGUGUGUUUUGGUGCUUAUUGGUUGCGAUGUCUUGCAUAAGGGCCAGAUGUGGCUGACACGGCAUACUGGUUUUGUGGUUGAAUCUGGCCUAUUUGUAUGUGGGCAAGCCAGUUAUCAGCAGCAGCAUGGCUAAAACACUCUGGAUGGCGUUGUUGGUCCGUCCACCAUUUUGGUCCAGGCUAAAAUAUCCUGCUGCCCAGAGGAUGACGCCUGCUGACCAGAGGUUGGAUCGGAUCACUGUUUUCUAAGACACAAGUAAGUCUCAACUCUCAAAUCAAUACAGGCAAGUUGCAAGUCAAUUCCUAAACAAGUCACAAUGUGCUCUUCAUCCUGCAGUUUGAUUGAAGGCUGUUGGAUUGGUAAAGUGGAUCUGAGGAAUUAAGUGUCGAUGUCCUAACUUGUUUUAGGAAAUGAAGGGAAAUCAACAAAACUGUGGCACUAUUUUUAAAUAAUCUUUGUAUUUGUGAAUAUAUCAACUAUUUUCAAAUCAAAGGCUCAAUGAGGUCACAGUUCACUGGUGUUAAAAUCUAAGUUGAGUUGCAAGUCUUUUACUGUCAAGUCGAGUCCAAACUAAUCAAAUUUGUGACUCGAGUCUGACGUAAAUCCAAGUCAUGUGAUUUGAGUCCACACCUCUGCUCCUUAGUGAGUUUGGAAGUCAGCUUAUUUUUCCUCCCGCCACCAUGAAGUUGAUCAUUUUGUUCUUUAUUGAAUUGUUUCAACAAUUACCAUUUAGUACAGACAUUUAUCAUGCCCAAAAGAUGAAGCCUACUGACUUGUGAUUAUCCAUGACAUUUCCUUUAAUGUCACCAGCAGCUCAAAGUUUAUACACAUCCAGUUAGAUAUCUCAGCGUAAACUGGAUGGAUUGGCACACAGCUAUGUACAAAUAUUCAUGGUUCUUAUGUGUAUUCUGAUGAUGCUCUGACUUUUCCUAUUGUGCCACCAUGAGGUUGACAUUGAUGAUUGAUUCAAGACAUUCAUGUCACAGUGAACUAGAAUUACUUUGUUGAUCUCCUGACGUUUCUAAGCCUCAGCUC
rnacentral:lncRNA from 1 species